GAUGAACGCUGGCGGCGUGCUUAACACAUGCAAGUCGAACGAAGCACUUUGGAAUGAUUCUUCGGAUGAAUGAAAAAGUGACUUAGUGGCGGACGGGUGAGUAACGCGUGGAUAACCUGCCUUAUACUGGGGGACAACAGUUAGAAAUGACUGCUAAUACCGCAUAAGCGCACAGUACCGCAUGGUACGGUGUGAAAAACUCCGGUGGUAUAAGAUGGAUCCGCGUCUGAUUAGCUAGUUGGUGAGGUAAUGGCUCACCAAGGCGACGAUCAGUAGCCGGCCUGAGAGGGUGAACGGCCACAUUGGGACUGAGACACGGCCCAGACUCCUACGGGAGGCAGCAGUGGGGAAUAUUGCACAAUGGGCGAAAGCCUGAUGCAGCGACGCCGCGUGAGCGAAGAAGUAUUUCGGAUGUAAAGCUCUAUCAGCAAGGAAGAUAAUGACGGUACUUGACUAAGAAGCCCCGGUAACUACGUGCC
rnacentral:rRNA from 1 species